UACGUAGGGUGCAAGCGUUGUCCGGAAUUAUUGGGCGUAAAGAGCUUGUAGGCGGUUUGUCGCGUCUGCUGUGAAAUUUCGGGGCUCAACCCCGAACUUGCAGUGGGUACGGGCAGACUAGAGUGUGGUAGGGGAGACUGGAAUUCCUGGUGUAGCGGUGAAAUGCGCAGAUAUCAGGAGGAACACCGGUGGCGAAGGCGGAUCUCUGGGCCAUUACUGACACUCAGGGACGAAAGCUAGGGGAGCGAAUGGG
rnacentral:rRNA from 1 species